rnacentral:misc_RNA from 1 species
GAUGAAGAACGUAGCGAAAUGCGAUAAGUAGUGUGAAUUGCAGAAUUCAGUGAAUCAUCGAAUCUUUGAACGCACAUUGCGCCCGCCAGUAUUCUGGCGGGCAUGCCUGUUCGAGCGUCAUUUCAACCCUCAGGCCCCCAGUGCCCGGUGUUGGGGAUCGGCCCAGCCUUCCUGUAAGGCCGCCGGCCCCGAAAUCUAGUGGCGGUCUCGCUGUAGUCCUCCUCUGCGUAGUAGCACAACCUCGCAGUUGGAACGCGGCGGUGGCCAUGCCGUUAAACACCCCACUUCUGAAAGUUGACCUCGGAUCAGGUAGGAAUACCCGCUGAACUUAAGCAUAUCAAUAAGCGGAGGA